UGGGUAUCUAGAAGAAGGUUUGCUUAUUUACCUAAAUUGGAACAUACUAAUUAUUAUCACAUGAUGCAAUGAAUAUUUAUUUACUAAGGCAUGCAAUUUAUCAUGUAUACAUGUCUUAAAUGAUAAAUUGAUAAGUCAAUAUAUAAAUUACAUACAUGUUCAUGCAUCAUAAAUAUGAUUUGUUAAUAUUGUCUAAAUAUUGUUCAUCUCUUGAUAUAUUGAAGCUUCGUAUGUUGACAUAUGCAAUGC
rnacentral:lncRNA from 1 species